rnacentral:rRNA from 1 species
UACUUAGGGCGCAAGCGUUGUCCGGAAUUAUUGGGCGUAAAGAGCUCGUAGGCGGUUUGUCGCGUCUGCUGUGAAAACCUAAGGCUCAACCUUGGGCUUGCAGUGGGUACGGGCAGACUAGAGUGCGGUAGGGGUGACUGGAAUUCCUGGUGUAGCGGUGAAAUGCGCAGAUAUCAGGAGGAACACCGGUGGCGAAGGCGGGUCUCUGGGCCGAUACUGACGCUGGAGGAGCGAAAGCGUGGGAGCGAACAGG